AGUGGCUACUUGUGGAGACGUCUGCUUACUUGCUCGAUAUUUAAGGAACUCAUUAUACUCCCUUUCAGAUACAGAAAAUCCCUGGUUACCUGGAGGCUCGGUCUGAGCAACAUAAGCAUUUUUUGGUGGUCAACCAUGUAAAGAAUGACACACUUCACGAGUGUGACCAAGUUUAUAACAAUAAGAACAUUUGGGUCGAGAUCUUCCAAAACGACCUCCUCCUCGUCUAUACUCCAUAGUAU
rnacentral:lncRNA from 1 species